rnacentral:rRNA from 1 species
GGAGUAUGGACCGUUCUCAGUUCCAUUGUGGCCGUUCAACCUCUCAGUCCGGCUAUGCAUCAUCGCCUUGGUGGGCCUUUACCUCACCAACUAGCUAAUGCACCGCAGGCCCCUCAUCAAGUGGAUUGCUCCUUUAAACAUCUCCUCAUGCGGGGAUUUGUCCUAUCCAGUAUUAUCCAUCGUUUCCAAUGGUUAUCCUCGUCUUGAAGACAGGUUACCUACGUGUUACUCACCCGUUCGCCAUGGUUAGCAAGCUAACCAUUCGACUUGCAUGUAUUAGGCAUGCCGCCAGCGUUAAUC